GGCAUGGAUUCUUCUUGGGCAUCCCACCUACUGGUGUGAGAUGUCACAUCAUCAGAUCUCAUCUCUCGAUUGAUUGAGUUGCAAAGUCAAUUAGAUUGGAGUUCAUCCUACUUUCUUGCGGCAUCUAACGUGCAUACGAAGUAGAGGGUCUGCAUAUCCAGGCCUCCGUGAAGAUUUAUAUCAGAUAAUUUAAGAUUUGAUCCCUGGU
rnacentral:lncRNA from 1 species